CCUACGGGAGGCAGCAGUGGGGAAUAUUGCGCAAUGGGCGAAAGCCUGACGCAGCGACGCCGCGUGGGUGAUGAAGGCCUUCGGGUCGUAAAACCCUGUCGGGAGGGACGAAGCCUCGGCGACCUAAUACGUCGCCGACUUGACGGUACCUCCAAAGGAAGCACCGGCUAACUCCGUGCCAGCAGCCGCGGUAAUACGGAGGGUGCAAGCGUUGUUCGGAAUCACUGGGCGUAAAGCGCGUGUAGGCGGCCUCUUAAGUCGGGGGGAAAAGCCCGGGGCUCACCCCCGGAAGGGCAUUGGAUACUGGGAGGCUAGAGUACCGGAGAGGAGGGUGAAAUUCCUGGUGUAGCGGUAAAAUGCGUAGAUAUCAGGAGGAACACCGGUGGCGAAGGCGGCCCUCGGGACGGUUACUGACGCUGAGACGCGAAAGCGGGGGGAGCAAACAGGAUUAGAUACCCCGGUAGU
rnacentral:rRNA from 1 species